GUGCUUGCUUCAGCAGCUCAAACACUAAAAUUAGAAUACAGAAAAGAUCAAAUGGCCCCUGCGCACAGAUGACAUCCAAAUUCACGAAGGAUCCCAUAUUUUU